GGGCCCGCACAAGCAGUGGAGCAUGUGGUUUAAUUCGAUGCAACGCGAAGAACCUUACCAGGCCUUGACAUCCCCGGAACUUUCUAGAGAUAGAUUGGUGCCUUCGGGAACCGGGUGACAGGUGCUGCAUGGCUGUCGUCAGCUCGUGUCGUGAGAUGUUGGGUUAAGUCCCGUAACGAGCGCAACCCUUGUCCUUAGUUGCCAGCGGUUAGGCCGGGAACUCUAAGGAGACUGCCGAUGACAAAUCGGAGGAAGGUGGGGACGACGUCAAGUCAUCAUGGCCCUUACGUGUAGGGCUACACACGUGCUACAAUGGCCGGUACAAACGGUUGCGAACCCGCGAGGGGAAGCUAAUCCGAGAAAGCCGGUCGUAGUCCGGAUUGGGGUCUGCAACUCGACCCCAUG
rnacentral:rRNA from 1 species